UACGGAGGGUGCUAGCGUUGUUCGGAAUUACUGGGCGUAAAGCGCGUGUAGGCGGGUCCUUAAGUCGGGGGUGAAAGACCGGGGCUCAACCUCGGAACGGCCUUCGAUACUGAGGACCUGGAGUCUGGGAGAGGUGAGCGGAAUUCCGGGUGUAGAGGUGAAAUUCGUAGAUAUUCGGAGGAACACCAGAGGCGAAGGCGGCUCACUGGACCAGUACUGACGCUGAGACGCGAAAGCGUGGGGAGCAAACAGG
rnacentral:rRNA from 1 species